rnacentral:piRNA from 1 species
UCGGACACGCUUGCUUUUGUCUAGAGGU